UGGGGAAUUUUCCGCAAUGGGCGAAAGCCUGACGGAGCAAUACCGCGUGAGGGAGGAAGGCUUUUGGGUUGUAAACCUCUUUUUUCAAGGAAGAAGCAAGUGACGGUACUUGAAGAAUCAGCAUCGGCUAACUCCGUGCCAGCAGCCGCGGUAAUACGGGGGAUGCAAGCGUUAUCCGGAAUUACUGGGCGUAAAGCGUCUGUAGGUGGCUUGGUUAGUCUAUUGUUAAAUAUUAGGGCUUAACCCUGAGACAGCAUUAGAAACUUCUAAGCUAGAGUAUGGUAUGGGCAAAGGGAAUUCCCAGUGUAGCGGUGAAAUGCGUAGAUAUUGGGAAGAACACCAGUAGCGAAAGCGCUUUGCUUGGCCUCAGCUGACACUGAGAGACGAAAGCUAAGGUAGCGAAUGGGAUUAGAUACCCGUGUAGUCC
rnacentral:rRNA from 1 species